CUAGAUUCUGUAUUGAUCACAUAGCAUAUAUUCACCUUCUAGAACCCAUGACCUCUGCUUUCUAAGAGAAUUUCCUUUUCAUCCUCCCUGUUCACUGCACCAUGUGUUCAUCAACAUUGAUUUAACACACCAUCAUCUAAAGGAUGUGAUAAGUUGAUGUUUAUACCUGUCAAGGGACAGAGGAGAUAAAAACUAGGCAUCACCAAAAUGUGUAGUUUUAGGUUAUUGGAUACCCCUGCAUUUUUCUUAAUUAUUUCUGACAUUUUAUCUAUUUCAGCACAAGCUUCCUUGGAGGAUACAGAUAAAGAAAAAAAUGUUCUUCAUGACCUAGAAGAAGAAAUACAUCUUCUCUUAAUAAAUCCCAUCUGAAAUCAUGUAGGGGAAGGAAAGAGGGAACAACAGUUAACAUUUAUCACUUAACUGCUAGAAAUGAAGAUCAAUUGUUACAAGAAGAUGAGGUGGUACUUAACCAGAAGGUUCUCCUGGCAGACUUGGUGCAUCUUGGUGGAUAUAUCUGGUAUAGAUAGGUACAGGAUAGAAGUCAGCACAAGCAACAAAUCCCAGCGAAAGAGGAACAAAAUUGUAUACCACGAUCUUCCAUGCCAGCUGGGCGGCGAAUGCAACCUACAGUGGGCAUGUAUAGCAUGAGGACAUUCCAGUAGCCCUAUGUUGUAAGGAACUGAGUCAGCCUGCCAACAACCACUGAAAAACUGAGGCCUCCUGCUGACAGUCGUGUGAAAGAAACAUAUUGGAAGUGGAUCCUCCAGGUCUGGUCAUACCUCAGAUGACUGCAGCCCAAGCCAACAUCUCAUCUUGACUGCAGCCUCAUGAGUGACUUAGCCUGAACCACACAGCUGGAAUAUUUCUGACCCAC
rnacentral:lncRNA from 13 species